GCAUAGGUUACACUAUUUGCUGCUGUGAAAGAGUACUAUUACUAACAACCUAAAGAUUCUACACUAAAUGGUUUUAAAGAUAAUAAUAAAGGUGGCCUCUUAAUAAAAGAUGCAAUUGCAACCACAUCUUUAGCAUAUUUUGCAACAUCCUGUUCAAAGUCAUCCAUCCAGAUAAUCUUAAAUCUCUUCUCGAAAAUGUUAACAAAGAAAUCGGUAACACCAUUCCAUCUCCCAGCAGAACGAUCAAGUGCAAUUACACAGACUCCUAACCCAAAGUACAAGCUAUGAAGCAUAAAUGUGUUAAAGCCUCCGCAAGAACUACAUUUUAUUGCACAUUUGACGCACUAAUGAAAAUAAAAGCAUGAAAGC